rnacentral:lncRNA from 1 species
GGAUAGAAAAGAAUAUUUUUGUUAAAAAAAUUUGAGAAAAAAACUGAGUGGCGUUAAAUAUCUGCUUUAUUAUUAAUUACAUUGAGUGGCUAAAUGUGAUCAAGUGGUGCACUUUUUCUUCACCAGGGGCGGGGGACAAAGUAUUUCUCUUGUUCACAUACCAUGGGUUAUAUUAUGGUCCAACUGAUAUAAGGCCUAACAAAAACAAAUAUGCGAGUAGAAUAUAAAGCCCAAUGCCGUAAUACAUUUGGGACCCAUACCGACCAUAGAAUAUAACCACAUUUUCUGACAAGCUUUGAACAUUUUCUUUUCUAUUUGUUUCUAUCGG